CCCAGAGGUAUUGAUGGGUGAACAUCAAGAGUAGUAACGCUUUUUCACCAACCUGCGCAGAUGCGCAGGUUUUUUUU
rnacentral:sRNA from 1 species